rnacentral:rRNA from 1 species
GACAGAGGGUGCAAACGUUGCUCGGAAUUACUGGGCGUAAAGCGCGUGUAGGCGGAUUGGUGUGUCAGAUGUGAAAUCCCUGGGCUCAACCCAGGAACUGCACCUGAAACUACCAGUCUUGAGUGGUGGAGAGGGAAGUGGAAUUCCUGGUGUAGAGGUGAAAUUCGUAGAUAUUCGCAAGAACACCAGUGGCGAAGGCGGCUUACUGGUCCGGUUCUGACGCUGAGGCGCGAAAGCGUGGGGAGCAAACAGG